CAUUAAUAAAGAUUAAUCUUUUUUUAGAAAUU
rnacentral:tRNA from 1 species